CAAACCAUCCUCUCCUUUCUUGCCCUGCCUUAUCAUCUUCCCUUCCCUCUCCCUCUCCCUCCCUUAUCCUUUUCCUUUUCCAGGGGCGGCGCAGCCGGCCGGAGCUGCAGGGCCAGGGGCAAGGGCCGCCGCGGCCGGCAGAGCAGUGAGGCCAGGGGCCGCGUGGUGGCCGGAGCAGCGGGGCUUGUUAAGUUUUGGGCGAUGGUGCCAUGGCUUCUUCGUUUUCAGUUUAAGUUUUGUGUGGGCACAGCUCCCCGCGGUGGCGAAGCUGGUGGCCGCAAGCAGGGCAAGCACAAGCACAUGCCUUUUUUUAUUAUUUUUUAGUAGUGUUGGGUCCGGUUGGUAACCAACUCGGAUUAAAGAUUAUUUUUGGUCCUGAUUGUCUGAUCUGAAAUUAAAGGCUGGGAUUAAAGGCUGGGACCUUUAGUCCCGGAUUGACGAUCUCAGUUGGAAAAUCGGGAUAACUAAAUUUUCCCAACCGGAACUAAUGGGCAUUUAUGUACCA